AUAUAUAUAUCAGACUUAUCUUUGUUGAGUGGUCUGGAUGUGGGGGUUUUUGCUGGCUUGUUCAGCUCCCCUGAAAUGCAUUAGCAGAACAAACCUUGUUCAUUGGUGUGAUAACUAUCUACGCUAUUGAAUGUGAGGGGAAGUUCAGCUUUCUAACCGUCCUUGGACAAUUCAUCAUUA
rnacentral:misc_RNA from 1 species